rnacentral:rRNA from 1 species
GUGGCGGACGGGUGAGUAACACGUGGGAACGUGCCCUUUGGUACGGAAUAACUCAGGGAAACUUGAGCUAAUACCGUAUGUGCCCUUCGGGGGAAAGAUUUAUCGCCAUUGGAGCGGCCCGCGUCUGAUUAGCUAGUUGGUGAGGUAAUGGCUCACCAAGGCGACGAUCAGUAGCUGGUCUGAGAGGAUGACCAGCCACAUUGGGACUGAGACACGGCCCAAACUCCUACGGGAGGCAGCAGUGGGGAAUCUUGCGCAAUGGGCGAAAGCCUGACGCAGCCAUGCCGCGUGGAUGAUGAAGGUCUUAGGAUUGUAAAAUCCUUUCACCGGGGACGAUAAUGACGGUACCCGGAGAAGAAGCCCCGGCUAACUUCGUGCCAGCAGCCGCGGUAAUACGAAGGGGGCUAGCGUUGCUCGGAAUUACUGGGCGUAAAGGGCGCGUAGGCGGACAUUUAAGUCGGGGGUGAAAUCCCAGGGCUCAACCCUGGAACUGCCUUCGAUACUGGAUGUCUUGAGUGCGGGAGAGGUGUGUGGAACUCCGAGUGUAGAGGUGAAAUUCGUAGAUAUUCGGAAGAACACCAGUGGCGAAGGCGACACACUGGCCCGUUACUGACGCUGAGGCGCGAAAGCGUGGGGAGCAAACAGGAUUAGAUACCCUGGUAGUCCAC